UACGGAAGGCAGCAGUGGGGAAUAUUGCACAAUGGGCGCAAGCCUGAUGCAGCCAUGCCGCGUGUAUGAAAAAGGCCUUCGGGUUGUAAAGUACUUUCAGUCGUGAGGAAGGUGUUAAGGUUAAUAACCUUAGCAAUUGACGUUAGCGACAGAAGAAGCACCGGCUAACUCCGUGCCAGCAGCCGCGGUAAUACGGAGGGUGCGAGCGUUAAUCGGAAUUACUGGGCGUAAAGGGCACGCAGGCGGUUAAUUAAGUUGGAUGUGAAAUCCCCGGGCUUAACCUGGGAAUGGCAUUCAAGACUGGUUAGCUAGAGUCUUGUAGAGGGGGUAGAAUUCCAUGUGUAGCGGUGAAAUGCGUAGAGAUGUGGAGGAAUACCGGUGGCGAAGGCGGCCCCUGGACAAAGACUGACGCUCAUGUGCGAAGCGUGGGGAGCAAACAGGGAUUAGAUACC
rnacentral:rRNA from 1 species